rnacentral:lncRNA from 1 species
CCGAGUCCUAAAGGCAUAACCUGCUUUAGGAACAUACAUACAAGACACACUUGGAGUUCCAGUGGGCUUUUAUUGAGAUAAAUUAACAAAAAGAAAAGUAAUCAAGAUUUUACCAACCAUCUUUUCUGAACCAUGUAUAAACUCUGUAAAGACUCAGGUCCAUAGACAUGUACAUACAAUGUAACACAUCCCAACAAAAACAUACUCCCCACUGGAACAUUUGCCAAUUAAACAGAAAGCCAAUUUUCCCUUUCCCCAAAAUAUUUUCAAAAUUUUAAGUUCCCACUGUUUAAAGUGGGACUGGUCCCUUGUGGCUAGGGACAUUAGAAUUUUCUUAUUUUUACUGAACAAAAAUUGUAAUUUUUUUUUUUAUAAUUUGUUUUGCUUCAAAUAAGGGAAGUGACUUUGUUUUCUCCAGGCACCCUUCCCAAGAACCACUGGUUAAAAUACAGCAGCUGUAUCUUUAACUAACCCAGGCCCACCCCUCCCCUGCCCUGCCCAGCCUUGUCUACUGGAGAUUUAAAUACACUUCUGUUGGAGUCUGUCAGCUGUGGAGGGGCAGAGUCCAGGCCAGGCUAGCUCCCUCUGACCUCAUACUGGUUACAACCCUUGGACACUUAACUCUUUAUUCCAAAGAUGAGUUUUUGCAUCAGAGAAGAAAAUAGAUUUGCUUUGGGAGUUUUAAAAAACUAUCUUUAUGAAUAUAAAGCAGAACUACAAACUCACCAAAGCCCACAUAAAUUCACCCAAAAGCUGGCUUACUUCACCUCCUAUGAGGCCAAUAAUUUUGCCUGACAAAGAUAUUUGGCAAGAAAAUCAUUCCACAGUAACAAUUUUAAAGAUACACAGAAACUUGGAAAAAAAAAAGUAUCCAAUUAAAAUAACAUGGCUUAAUUCCCAAAAACUUAUUUCAUCUUUUUGUUACUCAUCUAAAGGUCAGGAGUGUGGCUAAAGGCAGUUCCCCAUGAGGUUAUGAGCUUCCAAAGUGUUUCUAAAUCCUUAGUGCAGACACCCUCCCUGUUGGGACACAGCACCCUCCCCUCCCACCCACAUAAAAAAAAAAAAAGAAAAGAAAAAGAAAAAAAAAAAAAGAAAAAAAAUUAAACAAAAUCAAAUGAUCAGAAUGAGAUGUUUUGUUUCCAACACUGGUUUCCAAAGCUUUGUGCUGUGUGCUGUUCUGAGCACGAUGGUGUCCAACACAAAGCCAAGUGGCCAAGGAAAGAUGCCCUCAUCUCAUUCUGAAGAUGAAUUAUGACAACCGCCCACCCCACCCCAACAUUUUGGGCCAACCCAGUGUUAUGCUGGUACUCAUUUGGAAAUAAUUUAGAACUAGUUAGGCUUUCUUUUCCAGGAAAAAUCAUUUUAUGGUAAAUGCGUUCCACUCCAUAGGAAAGUUUCGUUCACCUUCAGAACAUAAAGGGAGAGAAAAGCAAGGCAGGCCCUGAGGCAGCAAGGUGUGUAACAGUCUUGUAACUUAUUACACAACUAUACGACCAGAAGCUAAAACCACUAAGGUGGAUACAGUCUGAAUAUUAAAAAUAGGAUGUAGUCCUCUCAUCCAAAUUAACCACUGGAAAAACAAAACCAUCAUUUUAGGAAUUACUGGAAAGAACCUGAAAGACAAUUUCCAAUAGUAGCAAUGUUCCUUAUUAGGAGGGAUUUAAAAAAAAAAAAAAAAAAAAAAGACCAGGCUUUGACCCGGUCAGUAGGGCAUCUUCCCAUUAUCAGUUCCUGUGAGCCGAGCACCACACCCACCGAGGCCUCUCCACUGUCCUGCGGUGGUGCCAGCUAGUCCAAGUGCCACAACUCAUCAGAGACUAUUCAAUAAUGCUCUCCAUGUGGAGUCUGUGCUUUAAGAGGGACCUGUAGGCAUGUGGCACCCGGCAGGGCAGCCCAAGGUUGGCAAGAGACUGCACUUUUUGUUGACUUACCCACAUGCCCUUUGGCGAGAUACUGAAUUGCAUUUAUACUCCUUUUCUGUGAUGUUCUACAUGGAAGAUCCCUCUCAUCUCGCCAAAGGCAGGAAGAAAGAGAGCUGCAUCAGUACAAGGGCAAGAUUUGUUGGUCAAAAGGAGAUAAUUAAGACCCCUCCCCCACCCUCCCUAAAAAAGUGACUUCCUUAAUUUGGUUUAUGUUUAAUAACCAACAUGGACUGGACUUGCCUCUUUGGGGUUUGUACUGUGCAGCUCUUGCUACAGUUGUUACGGAGUUGGGGUUAUGUCUGAUCAGGAGGCAUCUGUAGGAUUUUGAUCCCCAAGGAAUUUGGGAUGAGUCACAAAUAGUUUUGAAAAAUGAUGGAAUAUGGAAAUCAAUUUUUUAAUUGUUUUUUUUUUCUUUUUUUUGCUUUUUUUGUUCCCUAGAUGCCUCCUGACUGACCUAGUACACUGGGUUAAAAGGGAAUUAAAAACAUUUUUUUUAAAAAAAAGUUCACUGGUUUUGAUUCAUCUCACUCCUUUUGCCUGGAGAUCAGGCCAAACAUCAAGCAUGUUGGGAGGGGCACAAUUUAAAGCAACACUAUCUACCUAAAGCAUCUGCCAGCGAUUUACAAUGCAAAAUGACAGAAUUCUUGUCACGGUGGCACAGAGAACGGCAAGCAGCUUUCUGCAGCAUGGGUGUUAACAGCUCUCAGGGGGUUGCCCAUUCCUGCUAAAGUGUAUGUAACAAGGUGGGCCAAGGGCAACUCGCUCCCACACCACAGGUGACUGAAGACAGCUAAGCUCCACAACUGCCAAGCCCAUGGAGCCGGCACUGGCUGGUCCUCUAUGUGCAAGUGCAGGCUUCACACACACUGCUCUCACACUGCACUCCAUACCCUUCUCAUACUCCAGGAAGAUGAACCUUUGUCCCCCUGUGCAGAACUUGGCAAGUUCCUCAAACUUUUAGAGCAGGAGAACCAAAUCACAGAGCUUCUCAAAGCCCUCGGGAAUCACGGGUUCCUGAUACUUCCUUAAUCUCUGCUAAACCACUGCAAAUGCACUACAAGAGCAGUGUGGCAGCAGACUGCAUCCUGGGCUUCUGGGCCCUUUUCAACACAGGGCCCUGCAGAGGUCUGCUUCCUACAGUUAGAGGCCAAAGCACAUUUUAGAAUUUAGUGUUGCAGAAAACUGAGCCCCUCUCAUCUUUAGCUGCUCCCAUAAUCACUCUAAUCCCCUUAAUCCCAGCAACCUUCAUCCAAAAAAAAAUAAUAUAUAUAUGUAUAUAUAUAUAUUUAUAUGAACCCAGAAAAAAACUUAUUUACAAAGUUUAUACAAGUAUACACAUCCAAUUUUCUACGGACUCGCUUUGCCACAGAGGAAAGAGGGUCAAGGCUCCGACACAUCUCCACGUCAAGUGCCAUACUGCUCAUGGAGGUGUGUGAGCCAGCUUAGUGUUCUGCUGUAGAGCACAAAGGCUUGUCAUAUGGCUCCUGCAGUGACAGGCUGCUCUUUCCUUUGGGAGCGACGAUGGUGCGUCUACUCAGCCCAGAAGAAAAUUUUACUUGGUACUGUUUUGUUUUUUUUUCUUUUAAAUACAUGUAUUUACAGUGUGGAUGGCCUGCAGUUGUGAAUCAACUCCUCCAUAUAAAGAAAAGGAAAAUGGCGCUGACAUCACUAGUCCACCUUCCAGCCCUGGGCAUGAGUACUGGAAGAACAGGAAGAGAGACUUCAACUUGAAACGAAAAUGAAGAGGCAAAGGAAAAAAAAAGAAAAAAGAAAAAAACAGGAAAAAAUAGAACAUGACUUGGUUGAUUCCUUGGGCUGUGUGUAAAGAUGAUAUUCUUAAUGGUCUCGUAGCAUAAGGCACUUCGCACAAAUAAGUAAUAAGCUCUUCAGGCUUAAGAAACGGAUGACUAAUCAGGGAGAAGUUGAAAUGCAGUAGAGUCAGCUAUUGGAGAAUUGUAGACGGUGUGUGUGUUCACCAAGGUUCUUCUCUUUUUAGGGUUUCUCCCUUCCUUUUCUUUUUCCUCCUUCCUUGUCCCCUUUCCCCAGAAAACAUUUUUAAAAACCAGCAGUUAGUGCAACGAAUGUUCAGUCAGCACACAGUGCAAACAAGUGGAACAAAAAACGUCUAUUUCUUCUUUUCAGUUUCUCUUCACCAGUUAAAAAAAAAGAAAAAUGUCUGAGCUCUUAUAUAACUCUUCAUAGUUCCAAAACAAAGAUGAAAAAACCCACAAAGAGAAGAGCAUCCCCCCAAAAAAUGAUGUGUCACAGAUCCAAGGAGCCUUUUGCAGUUUAUCAAAGCCUACAGAAAAAGUUUAGAAAUUCAAAAAAUUAACAUCCACAAAAGCAAUAUAAAACAGAGAGACAUGUUUUCACAACUUUCACCCCAAACUACUAGGAUGUACUAGUUACACGACAGAGUUUCAGAUGGACAUGGAGGCUCACCCAUGUAAAUCUAAGCACUCAGGAGACUGAGUCAUGAGUUUCUUUUUGGUGAGCUAGGGCUACAGACUGUCUCAGGGGAAAAAAAAAAAUUAAAAAAACCACCCAACAACUUCCUCUCACAUACCCCAGGAUGAGAUCUUCAAGUUCUGAUAGCAAGACAAGAAUGACAGGUCUCAUUUACAAUAAUUAAGAGGCCAAGUGUGGCGAUACACACCUUUACCCCCAGCACUGGGGAAGUGGAAGGAUGAAGAUUAGGUUCUCAAGGUCAUGUUUG